rnacentral:misc_RNA from 1 species
CAGAGUGUAAAACUCCCACAACCCACUGUUUAUCUAUCUUAUGAGCGUCUGCUUCGGCGGGCAGCCCCAGGGCGGGGCUGCUGUCCGCGCUUCGGCGCGGGCGCCCGCCGGAGGAGACACCACAAACUCUUGUUAUAGUAAAACUCUGAGCAUAAAGACGAAAUAGUCA